rnacentral:rRNA from 1 species
GCUACGGGAGGCAGCAGUGGGGAAUAUUGGGCAAUGGGCGCAAGCCUGACCCAGCAACGCCGCGUGAAGGAAGAAGGCUUUCGGGUUGUAAACUUCUUUUCUCAGGGACGAAGCAAGUGACGGUACCUGCGGAAUAAGCCACGGCUAACUACGUGUCAGCAGCCGCGGUAAUACGUAGGUGGCAAGCGUUAUCCGGAUUUACUGGGUGUAAAGGGCGUGUAGGCGGGACUGGAAGUCAGAUGUGAAAACCACGGGCUCAACCUGUGGCCUGCAUUUGAAACUGUAGUUCUUGAGUACUGGAGAGGCAGACGGAAUUCCUAGUGUAGCGGUGAAAUGCGUAGAUAUUAGGAAGAACACCAGUGGCGAAGGCGGUCUGCUAGACAGCCACUGACGCUGAGGCGCGAAAGCGUGGGGAGCAAACAGGAUUAGAUACCCUUGUAGUC